rnacentral:rRNA from 1 species
UACGGGGGGGGCAAGCGUUGUUCGGAAUUACUGGGCGUAAAGCGUGUGUAGGCGGUUCGUUAAGUCGGAUGUGAAAGCCCUGGGCUCAACCUAGGAAUUGCAUUCGAUACUGGCGAGCUAGAGUACGGUAGAGGGCGGCGGAAUUCCGGGUGUAGCGGUGAAAUGCGUAGAUAUCCGGAGGAACACCGAUGGCGAAGGCAACCGCCUGGGCCUGUACUGACGCUGAGACACGAAAGCGUGGGGAGCAAACAGG